rnacentral:rRNA from 1 species
UACGUAGGGUGCGAGCGUUGUCCGGAAUUAUUGGGCGUAAAGGGCUCGUAGGCGGUCUGUUGCGUCUGGAGUGAAAACUCGGGGCUUAACCCCCGAGCCUGCUUCUGAUACGGGCAGACUAGAGGUAUGCAGGGGAGAACGGAAUUCCUGGUGUAGCGGUGAAAUGCGCAGAUAUCAGGAGGAACACCGGUGGCGAAGGCGGUUCUCUGGGCAUUACCUGACGCUGAGGAGCGAAAGUGUGGGGAGCGAACAGG